UUGGCAGUCUUUGGUUCAGCGAAUUGUUCGGGAAAAGGUUCGGAACUCGUCGCCGUUCGUGUGAUAAGUUCGUAACCAAGCGUAGAAUAGUUUUCAGUUCUCUCACGACCAAGGGCAAUCUGAGUGAUGGAAACGAAGCUCUACCAUUUACCUAGGCUCCCGCACUGACCAAAACCCGAAAGCGCAACGAACAAAUACUGACUCGGAGACCCAUCGGGCUUUGCUGGCGAACGAAAACCUGCUGGAUCUUCAAGCAAGAACACUUGCCCGUUUCUUUAAACUCUGGGUGAACUAGCGUAAUAUACACCCAAGGUAACGAUAAAACAAGGAAAAUGAGCUGAUGAUAAGACAGCACCCCACUUAUGUUGAUCUUUGCCUUCCAUCCUACCAAAAAAAACUUAAACUAUCAAAGACAAAAUCUUAGAUGUCAGAUCUAUUUGCAAAACUAGAGGUUUUCAGAAGUGAAGCGAAGUGGAGCGCUCGGGCAAUGCACUGGUCACAUGUUAAGCUGAGUUUAGGCCUCGUCCCCACGUAUCCGUUUACGUUUGUGAACGCAACCCUUUUGUUUUCGAAACCGUUUUCAAAACGAUCUGCGUCCACACGAAUCGUUUUCAUUUUGAGACGGCCCGUCCCCACGAAAACGCAGAAACGAUACGAAAACGAUUAGCUUUACAGAGCAUGCGCUUGCACCAUUUUGCUUGUUUAGUAAGCGAAUCACGUCAUCGUUUUCGAAAAGUUCCCACGGCAACGUUAGAUUCCGCUAAAAAUUACCGCAACAGGCGCUGAGUCGCUUAGUGUCACGCACUGAGUCUCACGCAUUCCUUCCCACUUAUUUGUGUGAUCUAAUUACUAAUAACAAAGCUGUUUUUAAGCCUAUGUAUUUUGCAGCGGGAGAUCUUUAUUUUGAAGAGAGGGAACCACUACAGGAAUGUUUUAGCCCCUCCUACAAGUUGAAUAACCGUGGGAAACUAAAGAUAGUUAUAGAGCUGCACAGUUUUCCAUCAUUACUGUCAACAAACAAUGCAGUGAUGUGAAGGCAAAAGAGGAGAGGUCUACUCCAGCCAAUAAAUUGAAAACAGACGACCCUAACAGGUCAGAGGAAACUUUGCGGUUAGCGGAAAACUCAAGAAUAAGUAACCGAACACCCAUCUGUCGUCAAUAUCACUGGGGAGCGGAAACCGCCGCCGGGCAAGAUAGAUUAGAACUUUGGAACUUUGGAACUUUGUACCUAAAGCUCACUCUACUACACUGUUUUGGCUAGGUACAACUGCGAUCAGUGCACUAAUGAUUGCAGAUCACAAUAGUGAGAGACUAGUGAUUGCCUAGAAAGGCAAGAACUGUAAGAACGAGAAAUAACGCAACGAGCAUUUCAACCUGCCAUCCUAAUUUCGGAACAGACCACAAGUAGGGGAACAUCAAACGCGGAAAGUAUCUGAGAACUGUAAGAAGUCGAGCUUGAGAACGCAACGAGAAAUAUUCUAGUAAGGAGAUAGCGAUAGAUCAAAGAAGCCUGUACAAGCCAAAGACGCAAACAUUUCUAAUACAAAAUGGGCGCACUAGCUGUGACACCAGGAGUGAUUGCUACGAUUGUGGUCAUCGCAGUUAUAGCAGUAGGAAUGUUGCUGCUUUAUUUUGUAUGCAGAUCGGAUGACCCAGUCAAGGACCAUACUUGCGUAGCCAUGCUAUAUCCGCGCUCACGCUCCGAGCUGCGACAGCUAAAGGUCCCGCUUGACCCCGGCGAGCCCACCGACAUACAUGUCAAUGCCGCAUACGAACACGACGAGCACGCGACGGAACCUGAACACCACGCUGCUGGUCAGCACGCAGUGAUGGUACACAUGCGCACUGAGAGCGCGGACGGAGGUGAAUGCAGCAUCACGUUACAUGCUGUAGAGAGCGAGUCGCAGUCUCGAUCCGGAGAAUCCAGCAGUCCCGAUCCAGGGAAUGAGAGUCAAUUAAUUCAAGCGGGGGACAAGACAUGUCUGCAAGUGUCUCAGUAAGAGCGGAAUACCAAGGGAUUGAUCUAACAAAGAUCGAAUCAGCUACAUUCAGUCAUCGUAGCAGUAAUAGAAUCAAUUAUAAGGAAAUAGAAAUAGUUUAAGAAAUAUUAAGAAAUAAGAGUUGUUUAAAGGGGCUAUGCACAACCUACAUAAAUCUUAUGGCUCUCUUUGUCAUCCGCUCGACAUAUAGAAAGAAUCAUAGAGUUUUCUAUCGAUAGAGGAUGGCGAACGUAAAUCCUAAAACUGAGAGGAGUCCAAAUCGGAAUAUUUUCAAUCGGAAACAAAUUUUUGCCUGACACUCGUUUUCUAUAAGAACGUCUAAAUUCAGUUAGGGCUGGACCAUUUCUAUUUUUGAAGCAUAUCAAGGCCGAAAAUUAUUAUUGAUGUUCUUAGAUUAUUAAGUUUUUAUUUUGCUACGAUUACCGAAUCAAUUUUAAAAUACCCGACAAGGUAGUGUGUAUGUAAUGCCAAUGUAGUAAUAAUAACAGAAUGACACAAAUGAUAAAAUACAAUGAUAUUUAGUUUUAUAGUUCAAAACACAUCGAUCUAAAAAAUAAUUUGCCGCAUCUGAGUCUCGGCUUAUAGCAUAUUCAAGGAAUCUGGUGAAAUCCCAGGCUGAACGUUCUUAUAAAAAGGUUCUUUCUUAAAAAAAAAAAGAGUAUGCAUUUGAAGGUAUGUUGUGGCUAUAAUUAUUAUCUCCAUUUUACUUUCGUUGGUCCGACGGAAACUUCAACCGUCAAAAGACACAAGAAUCUAUUAGAUUCCGAGAUAUUAAACAGGCCAUCCGCUCUAGAUUAUCAGUGACAUCCUCAAAGGAACUUCCAAUAGGCACACUGCUUUCAAUAUUUUUCGCGUUUUCCGUUAAAAAUCAUCGGAUAUUGUUACGUAAUCGACCGGAAGUAAACUGGUGACAAUGCGGCUUUAAGGAGACUGUCGUACGCGCUACAUGUCGCCUAGUUUAGCCAGGCCUUAGCAACGAGUUUCCUCAGUGAUGUGUUAAUUAGUUUUAACUUCAAAUUACUAAUAUCUCUUGGUUGCUGUAGGAACUCCAUGGGAAUGGCGAGUUGGAAGAUGCUCUAAAAAGCUCCCAGUAACGACUACAAAAUUAGAAAAAUAUCCGCUACAGGGUCAUUUUUGGUAAAGUGGAAUAUGUUAUGUAGCGCGUGAGUUAGGUCUGGACCAGUUAUGUAGGGGGAUUACUUUUACCUUGAGCAGAGAUGGUUACUGUGUGAUCCUAAACUUAAAAAAAGAGUAUGCAUUUAAAGGUAUGUUGUGGCUCUCAUUAUUAUCUCCAUUAAUCAUAACUAUACCCAACUCGAAUCAGCCUUGGGGAAGGUUUUAGACAAAGCAUUGUAAAACAACUGAUAAUAAAUCAGGCAUUCACGUUAA